rnacentral:rRNA from 1 species
CCUACGGGAGUCAGCAGUGGGGAAUAUUGCACAAUGGGGGAAACCCUGAUGCAGCGACGCCGCGUGAAGGAAGAAGUAUUUCGGUAUGUAAACUUCUAUCAGCAGGGAAGAAAAUGACGGUACCUGACUAAGAAGCCCCGGCUAACUACGUGCCAGCAGCCGCGGUAAUACGUAGGGGGCAAGCGUUAUCCGGAAUCACUGGGUGUAAAGGGAGCGAAGACGGCUUGGCAAGCCUGAAGUGAAAGGCGGGGGCCCAACCCCCGGACUGCUUUGGGAACUGUACGGCUGGAGUGCAGGAGAGGUAAGUGGAAUUCCUAGUGUAGCGGUGAAAUGCGUAGAUAUUAGGAGGAAAACCAGUGGCGAAGGCGGCUUACUGGACUGUAACUGACGUUGAGGCUCGAAAGCGUGGGGAGCAAACAGGAUUAGAUACCCUAGUAGUC